UGUUAUAAGGAAGAAUACACUUGCCUCAGCAGCUGUGUGACCAGUGGUGGAUGACUCAACCUCCCUGAGCAACAUCAUUGCCUCAUCAUGUGUUAGGACUGAGAGGGGAUGGCAUAUCAAGACAGCCUGGCAGCUGACACAGAGCAGGCUCGGGAUAAAUGAGGCUUUCAUAGGCAGAGCAUGCCUGGACGCUGGUCAGGAAGCUGCGGACACCCGUGAACCUCAUGAGCUGGGACAGCCAGUCG
rnacentral:lncRNA from 1 species